rnacentral:lncRNA from 1 species
AGACCAUGUACUACCUGGUCCUCAGUUUCAAUCUCUAAAAACUGAGCCCUCCAGACUUGCUGAAAUCUCCUUUCAUGUGGAUAUGCCUUACUCAGAUACAGACUUCAUCCCGCUUCAGGGAAGCUACUCACAUGAGCAAAGAAGGCAGCCCCUCCGGAUGUUGGCAUGGAUUCAGGAAGGGAAACAUGGGCUGACUCCUCGCUGUGACGGCGUUGCCAUCCGUGGUCUAUGAAUUUUAACAACUUCGUCAUUCUGUGAAAACAGUGCAAAUAUAACACAAGAGAGUUGAGUGAGGUGACCAGUUUGCUUCCUGUGUAUUUCUAAACCAUCAUUACUUGGAAAUCUGCUUUACUCCUUCACAUCUGUUCAGAUCUUAUUCACAAGAAGGUAAUUUUUAUGGAAUUUCCCUGAACUCUUUCCUUUUCUGCCCUUUUUUUGUUGAAGUGC